CCCACUCCAAUUUGUAAGUCGCUCUGGAUAAGAGCGUCUGCUAAAUGACGUAAA
rfam:Salmo salar isolate Sally breed double haploid chromosome ssa22, whole genome shotgun sequence.